rnacentral:rRNA from 1 species
UACAGAGGGUGCGAGCGUUGUCCGGAAUCACUGGGCGUAAAGGGCGCGUAGGCGGUCUCUUAAGCGUGUGGUGAAAGCCCGGAGCUCAACUCCGGGUCGGCCAUGCGAACUGGGAGACUGGAGCUUGUCAGAGGCAGGCGGAGUUCCGGGUGUAGCGGUGGAAUGCGUAGAGAUCCGGAAGAACACCGGUGGCGAAGGCGGCCUGCUGGGACAGUGCUGACGCUGAGGCGCGACAGCGUGGGGAGCAAACAGG